rnacentral:tRNA from 1 species
GUCGGCUUACCUCAACAGGUAGAGUGCCCGCAUUGUAGGUGGGCGGUUGUUGGUCCAACUCCGGCAGCCGGCUCCA